AUUGAACGCUGGCGGCAGGCCUAACACAUGCAAGUCGAACGGUAACAGGAAGAAGCUUGCUUCUUUGCUGACGAGUGGCGGACGGGUGAGUAAUGUCUGGGAAACUGCCUGAUGGAGGGGGAUAACUACUGGGAACGGUAGCUAAUACCGCAUAACGUCGCAAGACCAAAAAGGGGGACCUUCGGGCCUCUUGCCAUCGGAUGUGCCCAGAUGGGAUUAGCUAGUAGGUGGGGUAACGGCUCACCUAGGCGACGAUCCCUAGCUGGUCUGAGAGGAUGACCAGCCACACUGGAACUGAGACACGGUCCAGACUCCUACGGGAGGCAGCAGUGGGAAUAUUGCACAAUGGGCGCAAGCCUGAUGCAGCCAUGCCGCGUGUAUGAAGAAGGCCUUCGGGUUGUAAAGUACUUUCAGCGGGGAGGAAGGGAGUAAAGUUAAUACCUUUGCUCAUUGACGUUACCCGCAGAAGAAGCACCGGCUAACUCCGUG
rnacentral:rRNA from 1 species